UACGUAGGGGGCAAGCGUUGUCCGGAUUUAUUGGGCGUAAAGCGCACGCAGGCGGUCUUGUAAGUUUCGAGUGACAGGUGGUGGCUUAACUGCCACAGGCCUUGGAAAACUGCAAGACUUGAGGACUUCAGAGGGAUGCGGAAUUCCAGGUGGAGCGGUGAAAUGCGUAGAGAUCCGGAGGAACACCAGCGGCGAAGGCGGCGUCCUGGACUGGGCCUGACGCUCAGGAGCGAAAGCGUGGGGAGCGAUCCGG
rnacentral:rRNA from 1 species